rnacentral:rRNA from 1 species
AUGGGUAGUGUUAGGGACCCCCCUAAAUCUGAAUUUAGAAACUUUCUUGCUAGUAUAAUUGUAGGGGAAUCUAGAGAUAUAACGCAGGCUACCAUAGGGAGCAUUCACUUUCUUGCUAUACAUUAUUUUGCUCUCUUCAUCGGUAGAUGCAUAAAUGCUAAGGAUGAAGCAUGUCACAUGUGUGUCCCUGACCUUAGCAUUCUUAGGAGUGCUGUGUUAGGAGACCAAUCUUAUCAUAUGGGAGCCAUUGUAGCUCGUAGGUUGCAUCAUAAUAGACAUAAUGGAGAUUUCUUUGGAGGAAUUUAUGCAACCCGCUUAGCUCAUUUUCUUGAGAUAGACAUUCGUGAGGGUGACACAGAGUUGCCCACUGCAUAUUUUGAUUAUGACUCCAUGGCUUCACAUCAUUUUGUCAAAAGGCCUGAAUCACCUCUUUUAUAUCAUUUAAUUUUUAACAAACGGCAUGUUGUUCGUAUUACUCUCCCUGCUCCUGCUCUUUUUGAUUCACAGACAAAAGGAAGAUAUACUAUUACUAGAGAGGAGGCAGAUGAGUACGAGAGGAGAGUGGAGGCAGCCCGACUCCAUGCUGCAGCUUAG